ACCUGGUUCGCUGAGUUGGUAGAGCGCUCCACCGGAAUUGAAGAGGUCUCUGGUUUGAUUCCAGGACCAGGCG
rfam:Ixodes scapularis strain Wikel colony gcontig_1107728844944, whole genome shotgun sequence.